AUACGUAGGGUGCAAGCGUUAAUCGGAAUUACUGGGCGUAAAGCGUGCGCAGGCGGUUUUGUAAGAAAGUGGUGAAAUCCCCGGGCUCAACCUGGGAACUGCCAUUGUGACUGCAAGGCUGGAGUGCGGCAGAGGGGGAUGGAAUUUCGCGGGUAGCAGUGAAAGGCGUAGAUAUGCGGAGGAACACCGAUGGCGAAGGCAAUCCCCUGGGCCUGCACUGACGCUCAUGCACGAAAGCGUGGGGAGCAAACAGGAUUAGAUACCCUGGUAGUCCACGCCCUAAACGAUGUCAACUGGUUGUUGGGGAUUUAUUUUCUCAGUAACGAAGCUAACGCGUGAAGUUGACCGCCUGGGGAGUACGGCCGCAAGGUUAAAACUCAAAGGAAUUGACGGGG
rnacentral:rRNA from 1 species